rnacentral:rRNA from 2 species
AAAUUGAAGAGUUUGAUCAUGGCUCAGAUUGAACGCUGGCGGCAGGCCUAACACAUGCAAGUCGAACGGUAACAGAAAGCAGCUUGCUGCUUUGCUGACGAGUGGCGGACGGGUGAGUAAUGUCUGGGAAACUGCCCGAUGGAGGGGGAUAACUACUGGAAACGGUAGCUAAUACCGCAUAACGUCGCAAGACCAAAGAGGGGGACCUUAGGGCCUCUUGCCAUCGGAUGUGCCCAGAUGGGAUUAGCUAGUAGGUGGGGUAACGGCUCACCUAGGCGACGAUCCCUAGCUGGUCUGAGAGGAUGACCAGCCACACUGGAACUGAGACACGGUCCAGACUCCUACGGGAGGCAGCAGUGGGGAAUAUUGCACAAUGGGCGCAAGCCUGAUGCAGCCAUGCCGCGUGUAUGAAGAAGGCCUUCGGGUUGUAAAGUACUUUCAGCGGGGAGGAAGGGGGUAAAGUUAAUACCUUUGCUCAUUGACGUUACCCGCAGAAGAAGCACCGGCUAACUCCGUGCCAGCAGCCGCGGUAAUACGGAGGGUGCAAGCGUUAAUCGGAAUUACUGGGCGUAAAGCGCACGCAGGCGGUUUGUUAAGUCAGAUGUGAAAUCCCCGGGCUCAACCUGGGAACUGCAUCUGAUACUGGCAAGCUUGAGUCUCGUAGAGGGGGGUAGAAUUCCAGGUGUAGCGGUGAAAUGCGUAGAGAUCUGGAGGAAUACCGGUGGCGAAGGCGGCCCCCUGGACGAAGACUGACGCUCAGGUGCGAAAGCGUGGGGAGCAAACAGGAUUAGAUACCCUGGUAGUCCACGCCGUAAACGAUGUCGACUUGGAGGUUGUGCCCUUGAGGCGUGGCUUCCGGAGCUAACGCGUUAAGUCGACCGCCUGGGGAGUACGGCCGCAAGGUUAAAACUCAAAUGAAUUGACGGGGGCCCGCACAAGCGGUGGAGCAUGUGGUUUAAUUCGAUGCAACGCGAAGAACCUUACCUGGUCUUGACAUCCACGGAAGUUUUCAGAGAUGAGAAUGUGCCUUCGGGAACCGUGAGACAGGUGCUGCAUGGCUGUCGUCAGCUCGUGUUGUGAAAUGUUGGGUUAAGUCCCGCAACGAGCGCAACCCUUAUCCUUUGUUGCCAGCGGUCCGGCCGGGAACUCAAAGGAGACUGCCAGUGAUAAACUGGAGGAAGGUGGGGAUGACGUCAAGUCAUCAUGGCCCUUACGACCAGGGCUACACACGUGCUACAAUGGCGCAUACAAAGAGAAGCGACCUCGCGAGAGCAAGCGGACCUCAUAAAGUGCGUCGUAGUCCGGAUUGGAGUCUGCAACUCGACUCCAUGAAGUCGGAAUCGCUAGUAAUCGUGGAUCAGAAUGCCACGGUGAAUACGUUCCCGGGCCUUGUACACACCGCCCGUCACACCAUGGGAGUGGGUUGCAAAAGAAGUAGGUAGCUUAACCUUCGGGAGGGCGCUUACCACUUUGUGAUUCAUGACUGGGGUGAAGUCGUAACAAGGUAACCGUAGGGGAACCUGCGGUUGGAUCACCUCCUUA